AGUGAACGCUGGCGGCGUGCUUAACACAUGCAAGUCGAACGAGAACGGGUUAUAGCUUGCUAUAAUUGUCAGCUAAGUGGCGCACGGGUGAGUAAUGUAUAGGUAAUAUGCCUCUUACUAAGGGAUAACAAAUGGAAACGUUUGCUAAUACCUUAUACUCCUUAUUAACAUAUGUUAAUAAGGGAAAGAUUUAUUGGUAAGAGAUUAGCCUGUAUUGUAUCAGUUAGUUGGUGGGGUAAUGGCUUACCAAGACUAUGACACAUAACUGGUUUGAGAGGAUGAUCAGUCACACUGGAACUGAGACAUGGUCCAGACUCCUACGGGAGGCAGCAGUGGGGAACAUCGCACAAUGGACGAAAGUCUGAUGCAGCAACGCCGCGUGGAGGAUGACACAUUUCGGUGCGUAAACUCCUUUUAUAUGAGAAGAUAAUGACGGUAUUAUAUGAAUAAGCACCGGCUAACUCCGUGCCAGCAGCCGCCGUAAUAC
rnacentral:rRNA from 1 species